rnacentral:rRNA from 1 species
AUUGAACGCUGGCGGCAGGCCUAACACAUGCAAGUCGAACGAGUGGCGGACGGGUGAGUAAUGUCUGGGAAACUGCCCGAUGGAGGGGGAUAACUACUGGAAACGGUAGCUAAUACCGCAUACCAUCGGAUGUGCCCGGAUGGGAUUGGCUAGUGGGUGGGGUAAUGGCUCACCUGGGCGAAGAUCCGUAGCUGGUCUGAGAGGAUGACCAGCCAAACUGGAACUGAGACACGGUCCAGACGCCUACGGGAGGGAGCAGUGGGGAAUAUGGCACAAGGGGCGCAAGCCUUAUGCAGCCAUGCCGCGUGUAUGAAGAAGGCCUUCGGGUUGUAAAGUACUUUUAGCGAGGAGGCGUUACUCGCAGAAGAAGCACCGGCUAACUCCGUGCCAGCAGCCGCGGUAAUAC